rnacentral:rRNA from 1 species
GUCGCCUCCUAAAAGGUAACGGAGGCGCUCAAAGGUUCCCUCAGAAUGGUUGGAAAUCAUUCAUAGAGUGUAAAGGCAUAAGGGAGCUUGACUGCGAGACCUACAAGUCGAGCAGGGUCGAAAGACGGACUUAGUGAUCCGGUGGUUCCGCAUGGAAGGGCCAUCGCUCAACGGAUAAAAGCUACCCCGGGGAUAACAGGCUUAUCUCCCCCAAGAGUUCACAUCGACGGGGAGGUUUGGCACCUCGAUGUCGGCUCAUCGCAUCCUGGGGCUGUAGUCGGUCCCAAGGGUUGGGCUGUUCGCCCAUUAAAGCGGUACGCGAGCUGGGUUCAGAACGUCGUGAGACAGUUCGGUCCCUAUCCGUCGUGGGCGUAGGAAAUUUGAGAGGAGCUGUCCUUAGUACGAGAGGACCGGGAUGGACAUACCUCUGGUGUACCAGUUGUCGUGCCAACGGCAUAGCUGGGUAG